CGCCGAGGAGGAAGGUGCCGACCAGACCGCCACCGGUGCCGACGAAGUCGAGCUUGCCGAUUUCCUGUUCGCCCUUGAGGAUGCGGGUCUUGUCGUAGAAGCGCUUGCGCAUGUCACAGGCUGCCCAGGCCGAGUAGAUGCCGAAGGUGAUGCUGGUGAGUAGUCCGUUAAUGAGCAUCGGCACAAACAGCUCACCGCCCUUGCCGGUGUAAUCGAGACGAUAGCGGGUGCCAUCGGGGGCGACCGCCUGGCUGUUGUUCAUGAAGUAGCGCAUGACGUUGGCGACGUACCACGGGCCAUAGAUGCCGAAGGUCAGGCCCACCAGGAUCGCCGAGAGAAAGACCUCGACGAAGCACAGGAAGCCGGUGCCGGUAAACUCGGGGGUGAGGACGCCACUCGGCGUAUGGAUACGCACGCGUGAGUAGAAGUAGCGCUGCGCCCGGCGAACUUACCAGCGCAAAACAUAGGGUGGGAUUGACAGAUUGAGAGCUCUUUCUU
rnacentral:rRNA from 1 species